rnacentral:rRNA from 1 species
CACUCGGGAAUAGCUUUCGAAAGAAAGAUUAAUGUCCGAUGGUACUGGUUUCUCGCAUGAGAGACUUUUUAAAGAAUUUCGGUGGAAGAUGGGGAUGCGUUCCAUUAGGCAGUUGGCGGGGUAACGGCCCACCAAACCGACGAUGGAUAGGGGUUCUGAGAGGAAGGUCCCCCACAUUGGAACUGAGACACGGUCCAAACUCCUACGGGAGGCAGCAGUGAGGAAUAUUGGUCAAUGGACGAGAGUCUGAACCAGCCAAGUAGCGUGAAGGAUGACUGCCCUAUGGGUUGUAAACUUCUUUUAUACGGGAAUAAAGUGAAGCACGUGUGCUUUUUUGUAUGUACCGUAUGAAUAAGGAUCGGCUAACUCCGUGCCAGCAGCCGCGGUAAUACGGAGGAUCCGAGCGUUAUCCGGAUUUAUUGGGUUUAAAGGGAGCGUAGGCGGAAGUUUAAGUCAGUUGUGAAAGUUUGCGGCUCAACCGUAAAAUUGCAGUUGAUACUGGAUUUCUUGAGUGCGGUAUAGGUAGGCGGAAUUCGUGGUGUAGCGGUGAAAUGCUUAGAUAUCACGAAGAACUCCGAUUG